CAAUAGCGUAUAUUAAAGUUGUUGCAGUUAAAAAGCUCGUAGUUGGAUUUCUGGUGGGAGUGUUUGGCCGGCUCAAUGAGUCUUGUGCCUAUAUGCUUCUGCCAUCCUUGGGGAAAACUUGCUUGGCAUUAGGUUGUCGAGUUUGGGAUCCCCAUCGUUUACUGUGAAAAAAUUAGAGUGUUCAAAGCAGGCUUAUGCCGUUGAAUACAUUAGCAUGGAAUAAUAAGAUAGGACCUUGGUACUAUUUUGUUGGUUUGCGUACCUAGGUAAUGAUUAAUAGGGACAGUUGGGGGUAUUCGUAUUCAAUUGUCAGAGGUGAAAUUCUUGGAUCGGCGGAAGACGAACUACUGCGAAAGCAUUCGCCAAGAAUGUUUUCUUUAAUCAAGAGCGAAAGUCAGAGGUUCGAAGACGAUCAGAUACCGU
rnacentral:rRNA from 1 species